GCGGGCAAUUGGGCUGGAAUUCGCUUUCCCAGUCUGACCACACAACCCUAGCCUCCUCUCUAACCCUAACCCUUCCUCCCCAUAGCGAAAAACCUUCAUAGCUCCUCGACGGCGGCGACUGAACGCAUGCUGAUCUAGGGGCGGCGCCAGAUUCGACUGUUGUCUCCGGGUUUGGCCCUUGCGGAGGUCUUAACAAUGUUGUCGAGGGCAUUUGGUGGUUACAAGAGCAGUUUCUCGGCAGAUCUCUCCGUGCAGGCCUUACACCGCGCGUUUGGUACCCUUUUGCAGUUCGAUAGGAAUCAUCAGGCUCACCAGCUACAUGGUCAUCCAGUCUCACCUGAUGGUUUUCCCCAAGAGCAUAGCAGGGGCGUUCCGUCAGCCUGUAUGUUUGAACCAACUGGUACUGUUUGUGGAAGCUUUGAUCAAAAGUUGGCCACACUGAGGAGCAUUGGGGAUUGUGUCAGUGAAUAUGAGCUCAGUGUGCUGUUGAAGAAGAUACCUGUCCCUGUUUGUUAUGUUUGGUGUGAUCCCUCCCCCUGGAUGCAUAUAACCCAGGGGAUCUCAAUGACAAGUAAUGUUAAUAAGAUGGUUAAAGCUGGUUUCGAAGUUAAACUAUUGAUGGCAGAUUGGUUUGCUCGAAUGGACCCUCAGAUCACGAUGAAGGUUGGUAGUGAUCUAAGUAAUAUUCAGACUAUUGGCCGGUAUAAUAUUGAGGUUUGGAAAGCAAUUGGCAUGAACCUUGGUGGGGUUGAGGUCGUGCAGUUGUCGGAUAAAAUAAGUUGCAAAACAGAUGAAUACUGGUCACUUGCAAUGGAUAUUGCAAGAAAAAGCGAUCUGAGCAGAAUAAAGAGUUGGCUUCGUGUUUAUGCAUCAAAAGAUCCAAGCAUGCGUUGUCAAGGAAGUAUUGAUCCUUAUAUGUCCAGAGAAUUUUCAGCUGCUGAAAUAGCUAAUCCUUGCUUGCAGAGCGCUGGUAUAUUAUUGCAGAAGGCGGACGUUUGGCUUUUGAACUUGGAUCAGCAUGGGGGGCACAUAUUAGCUAGGCAGUACUGCAAGCACAUCGAGAGGGAAACUAUACCAAUUGCUUUCUUUAACAAUGUGCUACCAAAUUUGUUAGAGCAUCCUGGAUUUGGGGGUUGUAACGAUACAAGAUGGACCAUCUUCAUGGAAGACUUUGCCUUUUGUUUAUUGCAGGAAGAAGUCUGUUCAAAAAUAGAGGAUGCUUUCUGCCCUCUUAAAAAUGCAAAAUGUAAUCCGUGUUUGGAGUACAUAAAGUAUAUUAUCUUACCUUGGUUUGGAAAAUUUGAGGUGCUGCAGACUGUAGAGAACAGUGGUAUAAAGACGUUCAUGUGCAUGGAAGAGCUUGCUGCUGAUUAUGAAAGUGGCGCUUUGCAUCCAAUUGAUGUGAAGCAGGCGCUUGUCAAGGCAAUAAAUAUGAUGUUGCAGCCUGUCCGUGACCAUUUCAGUAGCAAUGAUGAAGCAAAAGAACUCAAGGAAGCUAUGCAGAUAUUCAACAGUAAUAUCUAGUGAGCAAAAGGUCCACAUGCAGGCGGAUAUUCAUAGGAGCGAACGAGCACACCUGCUCACGGAAUCGCUAGGCAUCCGUUCGCAUUGGGAUCGAGGCCACUGAAGCGGACGCAAUGACAUCAGAGGCAAUGCGAUGAGAGACGGACUGAACUUGGCAAAUAGCCUAGGGUUCCAGCGAGUUGAAGCGGAAUCCGACUCUCUAACGGUGAUCAACUGCUGCUCCGGUCAGAGUACUUGGUGGGACGCGGCGGCAGCGAUAUUCGCGGAAUGUGUGGACAUCUCUACCUUGAUUGGGAAGGUCAACUUUAAGCAUUGUUUUCGAUCAGCAAAUCAAGCGGCACAUGUGCUAACUAAUUUUAGUUAUUGUAAUAAACUUUCUUCUAGUUGAACCGACGAGCCUCCAGAUUGUCUGGUGAGCAAGCUCGUAGACGAUGUAUCUUUAUGCAUUAAUCAAUCAAGCUAGCCAUAAUGGCCUUUC